UACGGGGCGCAGCAGGCGCGAAAACUUUACAAUGCGGGCAACCGUGAUAAGGGAACCUCGAGUGCCUGUAUAUGCAGGCUGUCCAGGUGUCUAAAACACACCUGAAGAAAGGGCCGGGCAAGACCGGUGCCAGCCGCCGCGGUAAUACCGGCGGCUCGAGUGGUGGCCGCUUUUAUUGGGCUUAAAGCGUUCGUAGCUGGGUCGUUAAGUCUCUUGGGAAAUCCGGCAGCUCAACUGUCGGGCGUCUAAGAGAUACUGGCGAUCUUGGAACCGGGAGAGGUGAGGGGUACUUCGGGGGUAGGAGUGAAAUCCUGUAAUCCUCGAGGGACCACCUGUGGCGAAGGCGCCUCACCAGAACGGCUUCGACAGUGAGGGACGAAAGCUGGGGGAGCAAACCGGAUUAGAUACCCGGGUAGU
rnacentral:rRNA from 1 species